AACAUACUCCCUCCGUCCUAAAUUACUUGUCUUAAAUUUGUCUAGAUAUGGAUGUACCUAGACAUGUUUUAUGUUAGAUACAUCCGUAUCUAGAUAAAUCUAAGACAAGUAAUUUGGGACGGAGGGAGUAUAUA
rfam:Hordeum vulgare subsp. vulgare, WGS project CAJW01000000 data, contig: morex_contig_20673